rnacentral:siRNA from 1 species
GGAUUUGUUAUUGGGUUCCUUCC